GACGACCGCUGGCGGCGUGCUUAACACAUGCAACUCGAACGGAGUGGCGAACGGGUGAGUAUUACGUGAGUAACCUGCCCUCAACUGUGGGAUAAGCCUGGGAAACUGGGUCUAAUACUGCAUAGUUGGGGAUGGGCUCGCGGCCGAUCAGCUUGUUGGUGGGGUGAUGGCCUACCAAGGCGGUGACGGGUAGCCGGCCUGCGAGGGUGGUCGGCCACAGUGGGGCUGGGAUACGGCCCAGACUCCUGCGGGAGGCAGCAGUGGGGGAUAAUGUACAGUGGGCGCAAGCCUGAUGCAGCGACGCCGCGUGAGGGAUGAAGGCUUUCGUGUUGUAUACCUCUGUCGGGAAAGAACGGGUAUGUGCAGAAGAAGCGCCGGCUAACUACGUGCCAGCAGCCGCGGUAAUAC
rnacentral:rRNA from 1 species